AAGAAGCAAUGAUGCCCAAUGUGUGACCAAACUCCUAAACUAUGACAUCUUGCCUCCUGUUGACACUGUAGCAUAAGCCAUCGAGUGAUGUCAUCUGGUCCCUCCCAAACUUAGUCUCCCUGGGCCUGGGUAGCCUAUAACAUCUGAAUAGGAAGGUCCUGAAAGAAUAAUAACAGCUGCAAUUACAGUACAAUUGCAUUGUGCUUUACAGGGGGGCUGCCUUUUGCCCCAAACGGCUCGGAGUCUUGGAUGGCUGUUCAAAGUAAGCAGAAGGAAAGAGAGGUGAGAUAUCCUUCCCACAAAUUGUUAAUUACAAUUUCAAAAGUCACCAAAAAAGUUCAAAAGUGUGAUCAUGUGUCCUUGUACUAAAAUGCUUCUAAGAUCUGUGAUUUCAUUGGUGUGGGCCCUCGCUUUCACUGAUACAGUUUGCAGCCCUUUGUGAUGCCCCAACCAGGACUCAGUGGGGCUAAGCCUAAAAUCACAGUGUAAGCAGCAACUUUUCCAGUUUGGCCGGACCUGCCGGACCUUAUCUUUGAGAAUCCACGGCCACUAGGGCAGGAUGCAGUGCUGGUAUGUUCUGGAAGAGCUGUGGUAUUAUUCAGAAUAGAAGAACCUAAUGUGACAUUGAACACUCACAUCUGACAGGUGCUUUACACAGUCCUCAUCUAAUGUUUUUGCGGAGCACUCUUUCCCCACCUUUAAACUCUGGGAACGCAAAGGACCCCAAGAUGGACAUCCUGCAACAUGGAAGCACAGUCUGUUCCCAGCAAUGAUCUAAUGAGGCAUGACCUCAAAAGUGGGCCCUGAAGACAUGGGAAGUCUAACACCAAACCCUUAUCCUCCUUAUAACCCAGUCACAUCACCAUCCUUCUGUGACGACCAACUAAUACUAUUGUCAUAAGCUAGUGCAGCCCGCACAGUUAAUACUCCAGGAUCACUGGCAAAAGCCAGUGACACGAGAAAUUGCAGGCUAAGGUGGAUGAAUCAGUGACAGCAUCAAUAGUGAAUGUGCAAACAAACUGACCUUGCCUCCAGCAGGUGGAGGGCGGGACAUUGGGGAGUGGUAGACAGUCCCAGCGAAGACAGAGCGGAUGGUGCUAUUGGGAGUGACAGUGGAGACUGUGGUGGAAUUAAGCUGAAGGGGAAGAGCAGGGAAGUUAGUGGCGUGAUUGUUUGAGAGCAGCAAGGUGUUAACAUCCUGGAACAUCUCUGGAAACCACUCUCCUCCAUAGAACGGAUCAAGACAGACAGCUAUGCCAGCUGAAGCAUCCGCCAUGUUCGAUAAAGGGACCGUGGAGUUCAGGGACCUAUAAAAUUCUACAAGGUGUAAUGUUCAGCUGGAAUUUCAAGUUAUGACUAAGAAGUAAGGGAGAACAAUUUUGAUACAAAUUCAGGAAAAUAAUUAACUUUUCAAGGUAACUUUGCAAAGGAAAAUUAUCAGGAAAAUACAGCCCCACCACUCUGGCCCCUGCAGAAAGCAGCCUUGCAUUACCUUUCGGACUUUGCCUGGCGUGUUAGGGCCCAGCACGCGCCGCUUGCUAGGCGUCCGGGGUGUACUGCCAUACAGCAUUUCUGUUUCUGUUUGCUGGGUCUUCUUGAGCUGCUGAAAGAAAUUUACAAAACCAGGCAGUCAGCCACCAGUGCUCCAGGAUAGGGGGAGGCAGGAAGGAACGAGGAAAGCCAUAGGUCAGUAGAAAUCACCACUAAGCCCCUCUUUGUGCAUCUACAAAGGGAGCCAUCUCAGCCCCAAACAGCUGUUGUCUUUUUUCCAGACUUACUCUUUCCUGCUUUGCUUUUUCUUUCUCCAAACGAUGCGUCUCCCACUGCUCCGUCACAUACUCCAUGAAUUUCUGCCCAUUCACCACAAAGGCCUUUGAGUGCUCUUGUUCCCAUUGUUCAAUCCGUGUCUUCAACUCUUCUUCCAACUGGGGCCAUAAAGACAGACACCAUUAUUAUUAUCAAACCUUUCCCAUAACUAAUACACCACUGACUGGUCUCCUACUUCUGUCCCAGCGAAGCUGAUGGGAGAAAAUUAAGGAAAGACCACAUGCCCAUGCAGGCAGACCAUCACAGUGGAAGGACA